GACAGAGGGUGCAAACGUUGUUCGGAAUUAUUGGGCGUAAAGAGCUCGUAGGCGGUCCGUCACGUCGGAUGUGAAAUUCCAGGGCUCAACCCUGGACCUGCAUUCGAUACGGGCGGACUAGAGUUCGGUAGGGGAGACUGGAAUUCCUGGUGUAGCGGUGAAAUGCGCAGAUAUCAGGAGGAACACCGGUGGCGAAGGCGGGUCUCUGGGCCGAUACUGACGCUGAGGAGCGAAAGCGUGGGGAGCGAACAGG
rnacentral:rRNA from 1 species